UUUCAGAGUGCCCCUCCCCUGGGGAGGAGCCUCUGAUUGAGAGCCACUGGGAUCGACAAGGACGGGCUAGACAUGAACAAAUCAACCAAUUCCAGAGAGCAAAAGGUACCCUGGGGAAAACGGAACCACACUCAAUAGAAAAUGUCGGGGAGCAGCGGUAAACUUGGUUACAUUACAGAGUGCAGGUGCGGGUGCCCCAGGAGGUGACCUUGGAGAUCUGAAGGAAAUGAGGGACCGGAACCGUGUGAAUGACAAAGGGAACAGCGCUGCAAAGAUCUGAAAUGAGGAAGCAGAAAGAGGAGAAGCGGAUUGGCCCGGCUAGAAUGAAUGACAGAGAGCGAAUGGGUGAAGAAGAGCAGUGGGGCAGCUCCUGUGUGGGCCGGGUCACAGGGCACAGAUGGAUUAUUCAGGACCAGGUGGGCCUUGGGCUUUUAUUCAGAGACGGGAGCUUUGGAGCGGCCCGACUCGGCGAGUCCAGCGCUUUUGGUGUGUCGCUGGCGCCCUCUGGAGGCCGUGUGGGGAAGUGUAGGGGAUACGCAGGGAUUCCCUUGAGAAAAGCAGUGCCGAGGCUGGACCAAGUGGGUCCCCACAGAGGUGGAUUGGAUUCUGGCUGUCGCCAGGACGCUUUGCUGACCGAAGGAAAGCGCUGGGGGCGGAGGAGAGUGGAAGACGCAGGACGCACUCCCCUGGCUCCCUUCAGGGUGAUGGGCGCGGGGCUGAGGAAGGCUGGAGACCUGAGCCCCGCUGUCCCCCCCCACCCCGCCCCCGGCCCCAGUGGACGGGCAGCCCCGCGUGGCCCUGAAGUAAGACAUGAUCGGCAGACACCUGCGGAACCCGCCCCUGGUGGGCAUCUUCAUGGCCGUGUUUUUGGCUCUCUUUUUCUUCUUGGUCAUCCUGAUCUCUCAUCUCCAGACAAUUAAUUCGAGCCCUCAAGAAUAUCCAACUUGAACUCUACGUCGCCAAAUUUGAAAAAA